rnacentral:lncRNA from 1 species
UUAUGGGUUUCAUCUCUACUGUAUUUUCUUUUCCUUGCAGAUUCCCUUGAGGUUCUACGGCUUCCCUGGCAGCCGGCAAAGCAGAGAUGCUCCCACCUGGCUGGUUGUCGUCACACCUGUUUAUGUGGAGUGUUGGAUCUGUGGUCUCGGCGAUACUCAUGAUUCUGCUGCUGCUUCUCUGCCUUCCCUUUAAGAGGAACAAGCGGCAGCUAUCGCCGACCAUGCCUAAGAGAAAUGUGGACACGUCUGAACUCAUCAGCGUGACUAAGCUAGAAGACCAUCCAAAUCCAGAAGACAUGACCCUCAGAGAGGAGACGUCAAAGAAAGGGUGUCGAGAUGCCAAACGCGGUGAUCCCACCAGAAGCGUGAACGGAGAGGAGCAGAGGGNCAGACUCAAACCAGACUGAAACCGCUUAGAGCUCUUGGGGUGUGCGUGUGUUUUCCAUUUUCUGAGUCUCCCAGGGAAAAAAGAAGAAGCACAGAGCUUUGGGUGGUGCUAAAAGUAGCACACAAGCUGCACUUUACAUGCCGUUUUCUAGGAGAAAUGGUGGUGGUGGUGUGCUGCACCGUGGCACGCUGAGAUCUGAACGGGUCUUCUAGACUUGCACUGCCGGAAUCUCUUGUGUUUCACGUGGCACGAGGCAUCCCACCCGACUCAGGGCCGAAGAGAGCGGCUGGCAUCGACAGGAGAAAUGUGCUGCCUUUGAUGGUUCUGUGUCCAGCUCCGGAGACUCUGCAACAGUUUUUAAAGAAAAACAACACUGCAACUUUUUAAAGCGACAACAGUCCAACCGUCUCCACCACACCACACCACACCACACCACGCUACAUCCUUCUCAGGUUUUUAAAUUCUUUGGAAUGAAUAAAAUUAUUUUGUCUUCAAAUCA